CGUCUUACCCUGCAGUGUUUGG
rnacentral:miRNA from 1 species